ensembl:rRNA 5S_rRNA 5S ribosomal RNA
GCCAGCAACCAUAUCACCCUGCAACUCACAACUGGUAACCCACUGAAGCUAGGCAGGUGUGAGCCUGGUCAGUACCUGGAUGGGAGACCUCCUGGAAAAAACUAAGGUUGCUGCUGGAA